UCAGUAGAUAAUAUACUUAAUCAAAAAAAGGGGAUUUUUUCGAUGUCAAUCAAAAAUACACAAAUAAUAUCAUUAUCUUAAUCUAAGAAUUAUGUUUACGGGAAGUAACUGCUAACAUUAUAAAAAGUUUAAAAGAUUAAAGAUAACAAAUACAGACGAUGAGAUAUAAUUGUAUAUAAAUAGCCAUGAUUUUUGGAGAAAUGGUAUCAAUUGAAUAAUUAAUUCAAGAAAUAAACAACAAAAUGAAAUACUUCGCAAUUUUCGCUCUUGUUUUUCUUGCAUUUGCCGCUUUUGUGCAAAGUGCUCCGGCGGACGUGGACGUUCCAUCAGAUGGCGUAUCUGAAGCGAUUGAACUGUGGUCAUCAAGCAGCGCUCGCGCAGGGGAAUCACGUCGUCGUAUUUGUACCGCACAGCUUUGUCGCGCGGUAUGCAGUUCGUUGGGAUACCGUAGAUCCCGUUGCAAUGCUCAAAGAUAUUGCAUCUGCAGUCGUUGAUCUAUGACACAAUAAGAUCAAUUCAGAUUUAAUAUUCUGCUUUUUAUAAUAAUACUUUCGGCUUUCACUCUAAAUAAUAGAUAGAUAUUGCAAUAAAUUAUGUGUUGACUA